GUCGAGAAUCUUUCACAAUGGGGGCAACCCUGAUGGAGCGACGCCGCGUGGAGGAUAAGGUCUUCGGAUUGUAAACUCCUGUCAUGCGUGAACAAGGUUGCUUGGUUAAUACCUGGGCAAAUUGAUGGUAACGCAAGAGGAAGAGACGGCUAACUCUGUGCCAGCAGCCGCGGUAAUACAGAGGUCUCAAGCGUUGUUCGGAAUCACUGGGCGUAAAGGGUGCGUAGGUGGCGUGGUAAGUCAGAUGUGAAAGCCCGGGGCUCAACCUCGGAACAGCAUCCGAUACUGCCAUGCUAGAGUACUGGAGAGGUGACUAGAAUUCUCGGUGUAGCAGUGAAAUGCGUAGAUAUCGAGAGGAAUACCAAAGGCGUAGGCAGGUCACUGGACAGUUACUGACACUGAGGCACGAAGGCCAGGGGAGCGAACGGGAUUAGAUACCCUGGUAGUCC
rnacentral:rRNA from 1 species